rnacentral:misc_RNA from 1 species
CGUUGCAUCUUUAGACGCG